UACAGAGGCCUCAAGCGUUGUUCGGAUUCAUUGGGCGUAAAGGGUGCGUAGGCGGCGCGGUAAGUCGGGUGUGAAAUCUUGGAGCUUAACUCCGAAACUGCAUUCGAUACUGCCGUGCUUGAGGACUGGAGAGGAGACUGGAAUUUACGGUGUAGCGGUGAAAUGCGUAGAUAUCGUAAGGAAGACCAGUGGCGAAGGCGGGUCUCUGGACAGUUCCUGACGCUGAGGCACGAAGGCGUGGGGAGCAAACAGG
rnacentral:rRNA from 1 species